rnacentral:rRNA from 1 species
CCUACGGGGGGCAGCAGUGAGGAAUAUUGGUCAAUGGGCGAGAGCCUGAACCAGCCAAGUCGCGUGAAGGAUGACGGCCCUACGGGUUGUAAACUUCUUUUGUCAGGGAGCAAUUGGGUCCACGCGUGGGCUUAGCGAGAGUACCUGAAGAAAAAGCAUCGGCUAACUCCGUGCCAGCAGCCGCGGUAAUACGGAGGAUGCGAGCGUUAUCCGGAGUUAUUGGGGUUAAUGGGUGCGUAGGCGGAAUAUCAAGUCAGCGGUAAAAAUUCGGGGCUAAACCCCGUCGGGCAGUUGCAACUGAUGUUAGUGAGUGGGCGAGAGGUAUGCGGAAUGCGUGGUGUAGCGGUGAAAUGCAUAGAUAUCACGCAGAACUCCGAUUGCGAAGGCAGCAUACCGGCGCCCAACUGACGCUGAAGCACGAAAGCGUGGGUAUCGAACAGGAUUAGAUACCCGUGUAGUC